GUUUGAUCCUGGCUCAGAGCGAACGCUGGCGGCAGGCCUAACACAUGCAAGUCGAGCGCCCGUAGCAAUACGGGAGCGGCAGACGGGAGAGUAACACGUGGGAACGCGCCCUUCGGUUCGGAAUAACUCAGGGAAACUUGAGCUAAUACCGGAUACGCCCUUACGGGGAAAGAUUUAUUGCCGAAGGAACGGCCCGCGUCCGAUUAGCUAGUUGGUGAGGUAAUGGCUCACCAAGGCGACGAUCGGUAGCUGGUCUGAGAUAUGACCAGCCUCACUGGGACUGAGACACGGCCCAGACUCCUACGGGAGGCAGCAGUGGGGAAUAUUGGACAAUGGGCGCAAGCCUGAUCCAGCCAUGCCGCGUGGAUGAUGAAGGCCCUAGGGUUGUAAAGUCCUUUUAACGGGGAAGAUAAUGACGGUACCCGUAGAAUAAGCCCCGGCUAACUACGUGCCAGCAGCCGCGGUAAUAGCU
rnacentral:rRNA from 1 species